rnacentral:tRNA from 1 species
GCCUGGGUGGCUCAGUCGAUUGAGCGUCCGACUUCGGCUCAGGUCAUGAUCUCACAGCUCGUGGGUUCGAGCCCCGUGUCAGGCU